rnacentral:rRNA from 1 species
GUUGUAUGGUUAAGUGACUAAGCGUACACGGUGGAUGCCUUGGCAGUCAGAGGCGAUGAAAGACGUAGUAACUUGCGAUAAGCCCAGAUUAGGUAGUAACAACCAUUUGAGUCUGGGAUUUCUGAAUGGGGAAACCCACKURCAUAAGYAMGUAUCSUUACCUGAAUACAUAGSRUAASGAGGCGAACCGGGGGAACUGAAACAUCUAAGUACCCCGAGGAAAAGAAAUCAACCGAGAUUCCGAAAGUAGCGGCGAGCGAAAUUGGACUAGCCCUUAAGCUUUACACGCGUUAGACGAACGGUCUGGAAAGUCCGACGAUACAGGGUGAUAGUCCCGUAGUUGACGACGUGUGUUCAGUGAAAUCGAGUAGGGCGGGACACGUGAUAUCCUGUCUGAAUAUGGGGGGACCAUCCUCCAAGGCUAAAUACUACUGACUGACCGAUAGUGAACCAGUACCGUGAGGGAAAGGCGAAAAGAACCCCUGUGAGGGGAGUGAAAUAGAACCUGAAACCGUGUACGUACAAGCAGUAGGAGCAGGCUUGUCCUGUGACUGCGUACCUUUUGUAUAAUGGGUCAGCGACUUAUAUUCAGUGGCAAGGUUAACCAUCUAGGGGAGCCGUAGGGAAACCGAGUCUUAACUGGGCGUUCAGUCUCUGGAUAUAGACCCGAAACCAGGUGAUCUAGCCAUGGGCAGGUUGAAGGUUGAGUAACAUCAACUGGAGGACCGAACCGACUAAUGUUGAAAAAUUAGCGGAUGACUUGUGGCUAGGGGUGAAAGGCCAAUCAAACCUGGAGAUAGCUGGUUCUCCCCGAAAGCUAUUUAGGUAGCGCCUCGGACGAAUACUACUGGGGGUAGAGCACUGUUAAGGCUAGGGGGUCAUCCCGACUUACCAACCCUUUGCAAACUCCGAAUACCAGUAAGUACUAUCCGGGAGACACACGGCGGGUGCUAACGUCCGUCGUGGAGAGGGAAACAACCCAGACCGCCAGCUAAGGUCCCAAAUUACUACUAAGUGGGAAACGAUGUGGGAAGGCUCAGACAGCCAGGAUGUUGGCUUAGAAGCAGCCAUCAUUUAAAGAAAGCGUAAUAGCUCACUGGUCGAGUCGGCCUGCGCGGAAGAUGUAACGGGGCUAAGUAGUAAACCGAAGCUGCGGCAAUAUACUUUUGUAUAUUGGGUAGGGGAGCGUUCUGUAAGCGGUUGAAGGUGUGUGGUAACGCAUGCUGGACGUAUCAGAAGUGCGAAUGCUGACAUGAGUAACGAUAAAGGGGGUGAAAAACCUCCUCGCCGGAAGACCAAGGGUUCCUGUCCAACGUUAAUCGGGGCAGGGUAAGUCGACCCCUAAGGCGAGGCCGAAAGGCGUAGUCGAUGGGAAACGGGUUAAUAUUCCCGUACUUCUUACAAUUGCGAUGGGGGGACGGAGAAGGCUAGGUGGGCCUGGCGACGGUUGUCCAGGUUCAAGUGCGUAGGCUUAAGAGUUAGGUAAAUCCGGCUCUUUUUAAGGCUGAGACACGACGUCGAGCAYCUACGGRUGUGAAGUCAUUGAUGCCAUGCUUCCAGGAAAAGCCUCUAAGCUUCAGAUUGUAAGGAAUCGUACCCCAAACCGACACAGGUGGUCGGGUAGAGAAUACCAAGGCGCUUGAGAGAACUCGGGUGAAGGAACUAGGCAAAAUGGUACCGUAACUUCGGGAGAAGGUACGCUCUUGAYGGUGAAGUCCCUCGCGGAUGGAGCUGACGAGAGUCGCAGAUACCAGGUGGCUGCAACUGUUUAUUAAAAACACAGCACUGUGCAAAAUCGUAAGAUGACGUAUACGGUGUGACGCCUGCCCGGUGCCGGAAGGUUAAUUGAUGGGGUUAGACUUCGGUCGAAGCUCUUGAUCGAAGCCCCGGUAAACGGCGGCCGUAACUAUAACGGUCCUAAGGUAGCGAAAUUCCUUGUCGGGUAAGUUCCGACCUGCACGAAUGGCGUAAUGAUGGCCACGCUGUCUCCACCCGAGACUCAGUGAAAUUGAAAUCGCUGUGAAGAUGCAGUGUACCCGCGGCUAGACGGAAAGACCCCGUGAACCUUUACUACAGCUUGGCACUGAACAUUGACCCUACAUGUGUAGGAUAGGUGGGAGGCUUUGAAGCACGUACGCCAGUAUGUGUGGAGCCGUCCUUGAAAUACCACCCUUGUAGUGUUGAUGUUCUAACGUCGACCCCUAAUCGGGGUUGCGGACAGUGCCUGGUGGGUAGUUUGACUGGGGCGGUCUCCUCCCAAAGAGUAACGGAGGAGCACGAAGGUGGGCUAAUCACGGUUGGACAUCGUGAGGUUAGUGCAAUGGCAUAAGCCCGCUUGACUGCGAGAAUGACAAUUCGAGCAGGUGCGAAAGCAGGUCAUAGUGAUCCGGUGGUUCUGAAUGGAAGGGCCAUCGCUCAACGGAUAAAAGGUACUCCGGGGAUAACAGGCUGAUACCGCCCAAGAGUUCAUAUCGACGGCGGUGUUUGGCACCUCGAUGUCGGCUCAUCACAUCCUGGGGCUGAAGUCGGUCCCAAGGGUAUGGCUGUUCGCCAUUUAAAGUGGUACGCGAGCUGGGUUUAGAACGUCGUGAGACAGUUCGGUCCCUAUCUGCCGUGGGCGUUGGAAGAUUGAAGGGGGCUGCUCCUAGUACGAGAGGACCGGAGUGGACGAACCUCUGGUGUUCGGGUUGUGUCGCCAGACGCAUUGCCCGGUAGCUAAGUUCGGAAUCGAUAACCGCUGAAAGCAUCUAAGCGGGAAGCGAGCCCUGAGAUGAGUCUUCCCUGAUACUUUAAGUAUCCUAAAGGGUUGUCGGAGACUACGACGUUGAUAGGUCAGGUGUGUAAGUGCUGUGAGGCAUUGAGCUAACUGAUACUAAUUGCCCGUGAGGCUUAACCAUACAACACCCAAGGGGUUU